CACAGAAGGAACAGGCCUUCCCUUUGGUCUCAGCAACAACCUUCUUGGUUGGAUCCUUUUUGGUGUCUUUGGUUUGGUUUGGUCUCUUUACACUGUCUACACUUCUGGCCUUGAUGAGGAUGAAGAGUCUGGCAUGUCUCUUUAAGCGCUUUAUUAUUAUAUUAUGCACCUUUAUAAUUUUUGUGUAUUAUGUGACAUAAUAAUCAACUUAAUUACUACCUUCUUAUUGAUGUUGUAUCUGCAACUCCUUAAU
rnacentral:lncRNA from 1 species